rnacentral:rRNA from 1 species
UACGUAGGGGGCAAGCGUUGUCCGGAUUUAUUGGGCGUAAAGAGCGUGUAGGCGGUCAGGUAGGUCCGUUGUGAAAACUGGAGGCUUAACCUCCAGACGUCGGUGGAAACCGUAUGACUAGAGUCCGGAAGAGGAGAGUGGAAUUCCUGGUGUAGCGGUGAAAUGCGCAGAUAUCAGGAAGAACACCCGUGGCGAAGGCGGCUCUCUGGGACGGUACUGACGCUGAGACGCGAAAGCGUGGGGAGCGAACAGG